rnacentral:rRNA from 1 species
AAGGUAGCGCAAUCACUUGUUCUUUAAAUGAGGACUAGUAUGAACGGCAUCACGAGGAUUAUACUGUCUCCCCCCUUUAAUCAGUGAAACUGAUCUCCCCGUGAAGAAGCGGGAAUAAACAUAUAAGACGAGAAGACCCUAUGGAGCUUUAAACUCAACACCACUUAUCUAAAACACUCCAUAAUAAACAGAUAAGCUUGUGAACGUCUUAGGUUGGGGUGACCACGGAGUAAAAUUUAACCUCCACGUUGAAAGGCCUUAUCCUUAUCCAAGAGCCACAUCUCCAAGAAUCAACAAAUUGACAUUUAUUGACCCAAAUAUUUUUUGACCAACGAACCAAGUUACCCUAGGGAUAACAGCGCAAUCCAUUUCAAGAGCUCAUAUCGACAAAUGGGUUUACGACCUCGAUGUUGGAUCAGGGUAUCCCAGUGGUGCAGCCGCUACUA